UCGAAAUCUUGUGAUGUAUGUUCGAAAUCUUGUGAUGUAUAUUCAAUAUCUUGUGAUGUAUAUUCGAAAUCUUGUGAUGUAUAUUCUAUAAUCUUGUGAUGUAUGUUCGAAAUCUUGUGAUGUAUAUUCGAAAUCUUGUGAUGUAUGUUUGAUAAUCUUGUGAUGUAUAUUCGAAAUCUUGUGAUGUAUAUUCGAAAUCUUGUGAUGUAUGUUUGAUAAUCUUGUGAUGUGUGUUCUACAAUUCAGUGAUGCGUGCAAUAAAAUUGCAUGACGCAACAGAAAAGUAAGGACAAUUUUCAUUGGUUAGAAAUAACGAAAGUAGCCGGAGCGGUCGUAAUGCACACAUUGACACAACUUCGCAAGCAUGAAAUUGACGAAUUCAACCUAAAGUCAAAAUUAUAGGAACUUUACGUAGGUCUACAGUUUUAAUUUUGGACUCAUGCACUAGGAAUAUCAUAUCAGCAGAAUUGUGCCACUGAAUCAAAGGGAACUCUUUUUUUUUAGGUACGCAUGAUCGAUGUAACUUCCUCGAUGGUGUGUUGGCUGUUUGCCCAUGUGUAUUUCGGGGUAUAGGAGUAGCCUCCCCUUUUAAAGAUCAAAAAUGGUGAUUUUACAGUGCGGCAUGCAGUCUGGUCUUCAACGAAGAGUUUUGACACCUGUAAUACCCAUAUUUCUACCAUUCACCUCUGUAACCUUUGUUGAGUUCAUCAGACUGACAGGAAGUUGAGGAACAAAGUUGACAGGACAUCCUGAACUGUCUUCGCUACCAGCUUAUGAGGGAACCAGCUGCAGUGGACAAAGUAUGUUACAUCAUAGGAUAAUAGCAUUGAAUUGGAUUCUUGAACCAGAGCCAUGUGAACCUGGUCCACCUGUACCUCUCAUUGAAGACCUGUUAACAUCACCAGAGUAUGUUCAUUCUGAUACCCCUAUGGUAUGGUUACAGCAUGCAUUAUCCCUGAAUCCAUUAAAAGAGCUGCAUUGGCAAUGAAACAACCCAAUGUGGUCAAUUGUAAGGAAAUAUAGCAUAUCAGCUUCCAACUUUGGUGCAGUUCUCAGUUCUAAGUAAAG